GUGGAGUGUGGCAGUGUGAUUAGCUGGUUGUCAAGUCAACAACCACUAUCCACCCUGCCGUAUUCCGC